rnacentral:rRNA from 1 species
GAUGAACGCUGGCGGCGUGCUUAACACAUGCAAGUCGAACGGAAAGGCCCAAGCUUGCUUGGGUACUCGAGUGGCGAACGGGUGAGUAACACGUGGGUGAUCUGCCCUGCACUUCGGGAUAAGCCUGGGAAACUGGGUCUAAUACCGGAUAGGACGAUGGUUUGGAUGCCAUUGUGGAAAGUUUUUUCGGUGUGGGAUGAGCUCGCGGCCUAUCAGCUUGUUGGUGGGGUAAUGGCCUACCAAGGCGUCGACGGGUAGCCGGCCUGAGAGGGUGUACGGCCACAUUGGGACUGAGAUACGGCCCAGACUCCUACGGGAGGCAGCAGUGGGGAAUAUUGCACAAUGGGCGCAAGCCUGAUGCAGCGACGCCGCGUGGGGGAUGACGGCCUUCGGGUUGUAAACUCCUUUCGCUAGGGACGAAGCGUUUUUGUGACGGUACCUGGAGAAGAAGCACCGGCUAACUACGUGC